AAGUUGUAACAAGGUUUCUGUAGG
rnacentral:rRNA from 1 species